CACCCUUGGUGGAUCUUGCUGCCGGAUUACUGCUGUUGACUGUCCGUGCAACCUCUGUGGACGGACGCUAUACUGAGUUUGAUCUUCCGCUGAUUGAAAUACAUGCACCGACCAUGUCCCAGCUCCAGAGCUACCUGGAUAAAUUUUUCCCGCACCCGGAUGGCGAGUUUUACCGAACACUUGCGUUAGGAGACGCGCAGACCGCGUUCAAAGGCUCCAUAUUUGCCUCGGCUGUGACUGGGGCUUUGGCUUUUAGAGGAGAAAAUACGAUUGAGGUUGUUGACAAGAUAAUGGAAGGCCUGUCCUAUGUGGCUAUAGAUGACGUUGAGAGCAUCAACGGUGUGACCAUUUCCGCCUUCCUGGCG